rnacentral:rRNA from 1 species
GACGAACGCUGGCGGCGUGCUUAACACAUGCAAGUCGAACGAUGAAGGAGGAGCUGGCUCCUCCGGAUUAGUGGCGAACGGGUGGGUAACACGUGAGCAAUCUGCCCUUGACUCUGGGAUAAGCGCUGGAAACGGCGUCUAAUACCGGAUACGACCCUCGGAUGCAUCUCCUGUGGGUGGAAAGAACUUCGGUCAAGGAUGAGCUCGCGGCCUAUCAGCUUGUUGGGGAGGUAACGGCGCACCAAGGCGACGACGGGUAGCCGGCCUGAGAGGGUGACCGGCCACACUGGGACUGAGACACGCCCCAGACUCCUACGGGGGGGAGCAGUGGGGAAUAUUGCACAAUGGGCGCAAGCCUGAUGCAGCAACGCCGCGUGAGGGACGACGGCCUUCGGGUUGUAAACCUUUUUUAGCAGGGAAGAAGCGAGAGUGACGGUACCUGCAGAAAAAGCACCGGCUAACUACGUGCCAGCCGCCGCGGUAAUAC